rnacentral:rRNA from 1 species
UCUGGUGCCCAGCACCCCGCGGGUAAUUCCCAGCCCCCAAUAGCGUAUAUAGAGUUGUCGCAGUUAAAAAGCUCGUAGGAGGAUCUCUGUUAAUAAUUUAUAAAAAUUUUUUGAUGAAUAUUUAUAUAAUAUUAACAUUAUUCAUAUUACUAUAUUUUUUAGUAUAUGAAAUUUUACUUUGAGAAAAUUAGAGUGCUUAAAGCAGGCAUAUGCCUUGAAUACUCCAGCAUGGAAUAAUAUUAAAGAUUUUUAUCUUUUUUAUUGGUUCUAAGAUAAGAAUAAUGAUUAAUAGGGACAGUUGGGGGCAUUUGUAUUUAACAGUCAGAGGUGAAAUUCUUAGAUUUGUUAAAGACAAACUAAUGCGAAAGCAUUUGCCAAGGAUGUUUUCAUUAAUCAAGAACGAAAGUUAGGGGAUCGAAGACGAUCAGAUACCGUCGUAGUCUUAACCAGAAACUAUGCCAGGAUAGAGAUGGAGGG